AGAGUUUGAUCAUGGCUCAGAGUGAACGCUGGCGGCAGGCCUAACACAUGCAAGUCGAACGGCAGCACAGGGGAGCUUGCUCCCUGGGUGGCGAGUGGCGGACGGGUGAGGAAUACAUCGGAAUCUACCUUGUCGUGGGGGAUAACCUCGGGAAACCGGGACUAAUACCGCAUACGACCUACGGGUGAAAGCGGAGGACCGCAAGGCUUCGCGCGAUUGGAUGAGCCGAUGUCGGAUUAGCUUGUUGGCGGGGUAACGGCCCACCAAGGCGACGAUCCGUAGCUGGUCUGAGAGGAUGAUCAGCCACACUGGAACUGAGACACGGUCCAGACUCCUACGGGA
rnacentral:rRNA from 1 species